UUUGAUUCAGUUGUGUUUUGAUCUACCCGUUCCCUCUGCAGAUUAUCUUCUUUGUCCCCGACCGAGUCCUUCCAUUGAUUUAUUUUCAUGGAAUCCCCUUUGUGUCUCCAGCAGUUUUCAAGACAUAUCCUAGCCUACGCAUAACUUUUUUCCCCAGAGUCUCUGUUUCCCCAGUGAGUUUUCCUUAUGGAAUGCAAUAUGCUCCUGUGGACUUUCAGUCUCUCCGGAUUCUUUUCCUUCGUGGCAAUAUUUU
rnacentral:lncRNA from 1 species